GUUGCGCGCGCGCGCGCGCGAACAGGGAGAGAGGGAGAGGGGGAGAGAGAAGAGGACAGGGAGAGCGCAGAGAGGAAAACUGCAGAAAACCACAGGGAAAGUACGGUACCGCCUCAGAUCUUUUCAUUUAAAAAAAAAAAAAAACUUACUUCUAGUUCAUUUUCCCAUCACUCCCGGCUCCUGCCUAACUGGGUCUUGCCGGGGACGUUUGGCAUGGCGCUCUAGCUUUUGUUCCUUUUAAUUCCGCGGCCUCCCUCUCCUCUGCCCGCCGAUUACAGCACCCCGAAGGCUUCCUGCUAACGUCCAAGGGCAGCAAGCUCUGCAGACGGUACCACUGCCGGGCUAAAUUUUUUAUUAAGUGGCACUUUCUUUUCUGCGCAGAUCCAGCAACCUUGUCAAUACUCAUUUUUUUCCAGGACCAGAAGAGACCAGCUUAACUCAGAGCACACUCCCUCCAAGCGGUGCGGACAAGGGGCCACCCCGAGAGUCUUUGGGGGCCGCGGCGGAAUCGGGAGGGAGGAAGUGAGGAGGCAGUCAUCUGGGUCCGAUGUAGCCAAAGGCGUGUGUGUGUGUGUGUGUGUGUGUGUGUGUGUGUGUGUGUGCGCGCGCGCGCCCGCGCGCCCGUGCGCGCGCGCGACUAGUGUGCGUCUCCAAAGUGGAUCUCACUCAGAGCUGGGAAGCACAGGAGGAAAAGACGGAGAGAGUGGGGGAGAAAGAAGUUGCCGGGCGAGGAGGAGUGGCCGGCGCUCACAGCCCAGCUUUGUUGUGGUCGCCCGAGGCGCAGCGGCGGGCCGCGGUAACGCCUGCUAAUGGCUGUGUUAAUUACACAGGGGCGAUUUCGCGGGGUCAGGGAGAUGGGGCCAGCUCCGAAAGAACUUUUCCAAAAAGGAAAAGGAAACGAAGGGAACUACCCCACACCGUUUGGGUGGAAACUAGUUGUGGCCGGUGCCCUGUCCUCCCUGGCCCGAGCUGCACCAGGCUUCACCUCUGCGCGGCUGGUUUCCCGGCGGCCGCGCGUCAAUCACUACGAGCCCGGAGUUGGGGGCGGAGCCACGGUCACCCCGCGCAAGCCUUGCCGCCCAGCAGCCCCCAUGCCCCUCGGCCCCUUGUGGCGCGGCCGGGCGGACAGGCGCUGGAAGCGCGUCCUCUCCCCAACUUCUCGCUCUCGCCCUCCCAGUCCCUGGCCCAGAGAGUGGAAAGCGGACUGUUGUUCUCCAACAGCCGCAUCCCUCCCCAACUUUGAACCCAUUCUGAGAAGUGGAGAGUAGUGUCUUCCGCGAGCCGCGUCUAACCGACUUUCCCGCGGAGGGAGGGUGGGAUGGGGGAGGUUGAUUAGAGAGAAUAAAGUACUCUGUGUGUGUGUUGUGUGUGAGAGAGAGAGAGAGAGAGCGAGAGAGAGCGGGGAGGAGGGCGGGUGGGAGGGCUCUUUUUUUUGGCCCCCGUUCCAUGUUCCCUGCUUCACUGUAAGCUUUCGAGCAACAGAAACUAGGCUAAGAUUGCAGCCUGCAGAGACUCCAAGCGGAGUCGGAGAAAUUUGGCCUCGUUUUAAUAGGGCUGAGGAAUGAACUCCGGAGGUCAAUAAAGCCCUCCAAAAAUGAUGAAUGAUUGAGCACCUGUGAUGAUGAUAGUGAUUACCAGAGCAAUUAAACAGUUUGAUUAAAUGAGCCAUCAUAACAAUGAUGUCUGCGGGAAAUCGGCCCUCACAUAUAAAGAAAGAUAGUGCGAAGGGGCUGGCAGAGGCGCGGAUAGCGCGACGCCAGGGAGAGGGGCUGCGGGCCGCGAGGUUUCUGCCCAAUGGCCCGAGCAGGGACGGCCAGACUCACGGAGCUUCAGGGAGGAGAGUGUAGCCCAGGUUUUCAGCCACUCUUUUUUGCCGGGCUUCAAGCCUGCUAGAGCCGACGGGUAGGAAAUCUGAAGGUUGGGGGGAGGGUACUUCCUCCACGUCCUCUUUUUUUUCCUAGAAGAACUCCAAGAUUAAAAGUAUCCUUAUUUGUUGCUGAGUUGCUCGUCGACAUUUAAGAGAAGGUGAGUAAAAAAGAAAAGAAGAUGAAAGAGAAAAGAAAAAGUUGGUCUCCAGAAUUUUAUUUCAAUCGACAGUUACGCGAAUUCAGUUUAGCCGGGACCGGGAGGUUUGAGAGUGCGGCGGGGUGGGGAGGGGAAAAAAACAAAAACGCUGCGGAGCGUUUUCGACUUUGCAAAGCUGUUGAUGUUGGUGGGUCCAAGUUCCCGGUGCAGCGCCGCUGGCUGAGAAAUUUGUACUCAGUUUUUACUCUUCUAAUUAUUCUUAAAUUCAAUUUAAGAAUUUAAGUUUAUCGUCGCCAAUAGGAUUAUUGUUGUUUUAAAUGUCUUGUUCAAUAAGUGCCAGUUACGUUUCUUUUUAAAAGAAAUUCCUCAGUGUCCUUGAUAAACCUUUUUUUGUAAAGAUCAACUUCAUGCGGAACCUCUGCCUUGCAGGGUUUAAACAUUCAACAUUGCUACCUUCUGUUUCUUUUUCUGUUUUUAUAGUGAUACUGUAAAGUGAGUUAGCAUCUCUAUAGCUUUCAUUUAGAAAAACUUAAGUCGCAUUUUUAGAAAAAUAUUCCUUCCCUUGCAGUGUGAGUAAAAACAACUCAGACAGAUUGAUGAUUUCUAUAUUUUCUUUUCUUUCUUUAUCUUCUUUUUCUUUUUUUCUUUUCUUUUCUUUUUUUUUCUUUUUUUUUGAGACGGAGUCUCGCUUUGUCGCCCAGGCUGGAGUGCAAUGGCGCGAUCUCGGCUCACUGCAACCUCCGCCUCCCGGGUUCAAGCGAUUCUCCUGCCUCAGCCUCUUGAGUAGCUGGGAUUACAGGGGCGCGCCACCACGCCCGGCUAAUUUUUUGUGUCUUUAAUAGAGACGGGGGUUUCACCAUAUUGGCCAGGCUGGUCUCGAACUCCUGACCUCCUGAUCCACCCGCCGCGGCCUCUCAAAGUGCUCGAAUUACAGGCGUGAGCCAUCGCACCCGGCCGAUUUCUAUGUUUUCAAACAAUUGUAAGCUAAUAAUGAGUUGAUUAUCUGGUGAUAAUCUUGGGUUUUACAAAAAAAGAAAAGUUUAAACUUUAUUUUCAUGUGUUUUUAUCAGAUGCAGAAGGCAUUUUUAACCUUAACGCCUUUCUCUGUCUCUCUCUUUCAUAUUCUUAACUUCUUUUGCAUUUUAUUGAAUACAUUAAAGCAAACAACAGGAACAAUAUGGUUAGGUGUAGGAGGGAGAGAGAAAUAUGACAUUUUAAGAUAUUGUCAAAAAGUCAUAUUUAACUUCAACGACUUUUAGUUAAAAAAGUGUGAGAGUGUUGAAAGUGCAUUCCUACUGGAGGAAAUCUAUGUCUUUUUAAAAUUUGCCAGUUGUCUCAGGGGAGAACCCAGAAUUUCUUUGAACGAAAGAGAUCUUACUGAUCUAGUUGCAUGUCACUUAUGAAACUGUUAGUUUAAAAUAGCAGUCCUAGUGUAGUGGAUUACACAUGAGGAGAUCAAGUUGGAGUCGAUUCAAGGUAUUGGUUCUUGGUCAGUCUGCUGAAUUCAAAACACUAUUACCUUUAAUCAGCAACUUGCGGGUGUUUUAUUAAUAGAGCUGAAAAAGGCUCAUCUAACAUAUAAGAAUUUCCUGGUUUCCCUCAUCCCCAAUUUUCCAGUCCAAUAGAAGCGAUUCCAAAGGAGUAGGGUACCCGCACUUACUGAUUUCCAUCCUGGUGGCAUUUUGCUAAUGCCCCAUUGUCAGCGUUGGCACUCCCACCCAGGCUUCCAGGCUCAUCUGCUCUCCCAUAUUUGGGGUGAAAGGAAAGUAGGUGGGGCAGGCCCGGGAGACAGGCACGAAAUGGGGGUCGCAGGAGGUGGCACACACCUCCGUCAACAGUCAGCUCCUUCUGCCCAGGCUGGAAAUGGUUUUAACAGGCGGUAAAAUUUCAUCUUGCGGUGUCAAAUUGGGGUCAUUUUGGGGUUAGAGUUCUCAGUGUCCGAGAGGAGCUGUCCAGCUGCGUGGGGACUCAUUAACUGCAAAAGAUCUGUUUCAGUAAAAACAAUUCAAAGACAAUCAGAAGGCUAAAGACCCUCUACAAAUCGCAUUUUACAAGUGCCCCAGAACAAAUAUGGAUGGUGAAACCUAUUUCUUCAGAAUCCCAAAUCAGCUACUUAGCUCUGGAGUGGGGGUGGGGGUACUGCAUAAAAAAGAGGUGAAAAGGAGGGGACCAAGCGGGUGGGGACCAGUGGAAGGGGGAAUCGGGCCUCUCAAAUUUAAGAGUCUGUUUUUAAUCACCUCUUUCUUAUUGAAGCAGCCCCAAGAGUUCUGAAAACUGCUACUUUUCUAUUUUUCAUUUUCUUUUUUUGAGCCAACAUGGAAUGCUAUUAUAGGUAACAUUUAAGAUUUAAAAGGAAUAAUUGAAUUCCACUAUAGUCCCUUAAUUUGAAGGGCAUUGGCUUUAUGGGGAGUGUUUAAUUUGAACCAAGAAUUUAUGAACCCAGACUCUAGGUGAAUUUGCCCACACUCCUUAAGGAGCUUGUGUAGCUGUUUCUUUUUCUUUUCCUUGAAAGUUAUAGCUUCUUAGCACAGAUAACUUCAAAUUCCUCAGAACUGAGAAGUCCAAAGUGUUAAUCUGUGUAUUAAAAUCGCCAGGUUUAAAUCCUUUUUGUCUUCUUACAACAGUUAGAACAAUUGACGCCUUGCUAGAGAAGCAAAUAAGUCCAACCUUAAUCUUAUCUGUAACUUUAUUUAAUGUUUUGAUUUGGAAUAUUUUGGAUUAAGCAUAUCUUUAAAAACUCUGUAAGGUUAAUUUUUAUUCCGGGAGGGAAGUUCUCUUUACUGAUUUUGAAAAAAGACAUGAAUUAUUACUUUGAUUUUCAAAAAUUCCUUCAGGUAAAAGGAAAAUUCAGGUUUAAAAUGAGAAGCUAGAUAUGUGAAAUGCCAGAGAUUUUAGGAUAAAACCAAGUCAAUACUUAAAAGUAAAGUAUCAUUUGAAAGAAAUUUUAUUUCUUGCAUUACUGAACUGAGCAAGUAACAGUGAUCAAAAAUAUGUUAUUCUCUCUCCAUCUCUCUCUCUCUCUGGACUCCACUUCUGUCACUAGGUCUUCUCUUUCCAUCCCCAGCACUUUUCUUUGGGUUCUGAAUGACACAGUGAUUUUUUUUUUUUGUAGUCUAGUUAUUUUCUCCAAGCGUCUCAGAGUAUUUCUAAAUUGUUAUUCAAGGAGUUUGAUUUCAGCCCUGCAGAAACAGCCCUGAGCCCAGCAUCGCUGGGACAAAGGCAGAAGGGGCUAUCUUCUGUUCAAGACCUGCUGGCUGACAGUUGGAAUUUUUGAUAUAUAUUUUAUUUGGCGUUUCCAAUAACGUGUUUGUCUUUCCCUCUCCACCCCUUGCAGCCAUCUAUUACUUUUAAAACAUCCCUUCUCCAUAAACAUCGGCUCAUCCUUGUGAACUAUUCUUGACCUUCCCAGCAGUGUAACCAGCAGCUCUGAAAGUUGGCCUAGAAAUAAUUCCACUGGCUUCCUUACCUGUUAACUUUACUCACUCUUCCUAGCUGGGAUCAACAGAAGGAAGGGGACUUUUUUGUUUGCUUUUGUUGUUGUUGGUGGUGGUGGUGGUGGUGGUGGUGGUUUUUGGUUCUUUGGUCCUUUUCCCACUUAAACUUUCUAUAAUGAUUUAUUCUCCGCCUCCUCCCAUUAAUAACGUUUAAGCACCCCACACUUUAUUUUUUAAAUAAAAUGGAGUAAAAUUAUUAUACUUUUUUCCUUUAUGCCCCCUUUUCUUUUAUUUCUCCCAAUUUUAGGGGCUUCACCAUCUCAUAGAAAGGACUUCAAUAAAUAGCCCUCUAGCGCUAUCUGGCGGGGCUCCAAACACGACGUGCGCUUGCUCUCACUGUUUCUUCCUCCUUCCCGCGCUCUCUUCUUUCCUCUCUUUCUUCCUCUCUCCUGCUUUUUCUCUCGUCUCUUCCGCUCGAUUGUUUUCCUCUUUUUUUCUGUCCUCCUGCGGCCUCUUGUCUAGUUCCUACCCCUACUUCAGCGCAGGCGGCUUGGAAAGCCCCGGCCAGAGGCUAGUAACUCUCGCAAGUGGGAGAUGCUCUGGCGACGGAUCUCUCUUUUCUGAUCCCUCCUCCCCCUUACCCAGCGCGGAUCACACACAUCCUUUGCCUUUGAUUAGCAUCUUAAAGUUGCUUAGCGUGCCGCUUAAGUCCCAGCGUCUCAGCUGGCGGUGGUUUGGAGAGGCUUAAAACUGCAUUCAUGAAGUUUGGAGGAAAGAAAUCAGACACUGGAAUUCAGGGCUAGGAGCCCAGCUCAGUUUUAGGUCAGAAGGCCGAGUCUCAGUGCGAGAUUGAGGAAGGGUCGGGGCUUAACGGGGGAGGUGGGGGUGGCGGGGGGGGGAACAGCACGGCGCGGCGCCUAGCCUGCGAGAUGGAGUCGGAGUGGGGGUGCGAGCGGUCCUCCACCGCCUCUGCCCGAUCCGUACCUCACAAUGGACUGCUCGAGUUUGUAUCUAGGCCUGUCCAGGAUUGUUUACUCCUUCAAUUAAUCAGCUUUAUCUCUUUUCCCCCUCCCCCCACCUCCACCAAAUCUGGAGAGGAGUGGGAAAGAACUGGAAAACUCACAGGGCAAAGAGAGAAAGCCAACAGUCAUAGUGCGGGAGGAGGCACGCCUGGGAUGCAAUACCCAACAGUCUCCUCCCUGCUUUCCUGCAAUUUGCAGGUCAUUGUCUUUCUUAUUUGUAGCUUUUUUUUUUUUUCUUCAGUAGCCGGUAAACAAUCGAACGCCGGGUAGGGAGGUCAGAGGGGAUGGGGCUGUGGGAGAGAUUCUACUCAGGCUAGGUGCUUUAGAUUUGGACCUGGCUGUGUCCCUACUUUAUUAAAAUUCUCAUGUGGCGCGCGCUGUCUUCUCUCUUCUCUCUCUCUCUCUCUCACACACACACGCACAUACACACACAGCCCGAGAGAAAUUUCCAAUCUUUGAGCAAAUCUCUUCCAUCUAGUCCUUGAAACAGAGGAAAGGACAUGGGACCUGAAGGAGAGUUAUGAUUGAAUUUUCUAAAAUUUAGUUUUGACAUUGCAAAGUAAAAGUGAGGACCGUAUUCCCAAUACAGACCCAGAGGGUGGUUAUUUCAGGUGAGGGGACCUCAGCCUGUGACGUCUAUGAUCAACCAGACAAAGACCCCUUCCUAAAUCUGAAGUCCCACCCCCACCCGUGGCAAACAUGGAAUACAAGGGAGGGGAAGGAUGGCACAAUAGUGGGUUCUGUUUUCCAAGAACUGCCCCCCACCUCCAUUGCAGAAGGAAAAAAAAGCACGGUUCGGGUGUAAUUAAUUGGGGACUGUUAUUAGGUCAUCAUUAGCCAAGGUACAAAUAAUAGCAGCACAUUUUUACUUAAAAUUGACCAGCCCCAGAGUGAUAGAUCGAUUUGGAGUAUAAAAAGAUGUAUCAAAACAUCAAUGUCGAUUAUUUGAAAUAUUGUAGUCGAAUUUUUUUUAUUGCUUCAUCGGUUAAGUGUCUGAAAAUGCAGUGUUCAAACAUAUAUUUAUGUUGUCAAUACUGUCAGAACUGUCAGUUUUACUAUACUGGAUUUGUACUAUAUUUCAAAUAUGCUAAUUUACAUAAAAUGCCCACCCUAGGAUUCCCCCCCUACACCCACCCCAUCUCUGGAAAAUCCGUGUCAGUUUCUUCAAAGGAUUCAGCAAUCUUUGCCUAAGCUAAAGUGUGCACUACCUCUUUUACUCAAUUUUCCACAUCGGAUUACAUGUCUUUUUCACCAUCUCUAACUUUCAAAGAGAUCCUUCUUCCUUUCUCCCCAAUUCUGCCUACUCUAACCUCUUCUUCAAAAUAGUACUGAGGCACUUGGAAAGCUUCGAAUUUAAAUAUCCACAUCCCAGCUCCAAAUAUACCAUUGGAGUAAAAAAACGGAAAAACUGGACUUGAGUGUACUUGGCCGCACUCGGGUAAACCAGGCUUCACCAGGUAGACGUUCUCAUACCGUAAGGGUCCAUCAUCAAAUUACCUGGCAGAUUGAAAUCUUCCAGGGAAAAUGAAUUUGGAAAUGUAAACACCUUUUCUUUCUUUUUACUUAAAAGCCUCGAUGGUAGAAAAAGAAAUAAUACUUAUAAAUGAUCGGCACGUUUUAACUUUAAAAGCUUUUGAACUCAAGUGAAAGACACACGUUGGAAACAGAAUUGAUAGUUUUAAUUCUACCCAUUUUCACCUGGCACAUCAGAUCAGUGGCAAUCAUUUAUUUUAUGGGGUGUGGAGGGGAAAGGGAUAGAAAGCGGAUAGAAAGCUAGAAUCCACUGAAGUCCCUGUCCUAAAAAUCUCAGAGAAAUUAAAGACUUAUUGAAACACAAACAUUCCAUCGCUCCAUACUCUCCGUCCAGAUGAAUUGAAACUUAUAAAUCCACGCUCUCCCCAAUUUUAUGUUUUUUAUUUAUUUUUUUUCAGGGUUUGAUAGGAAAGAUACCCAAGUCUGAUAGGGAAGACAGGGCCACUUCUGGACUAGCUGUGAGGAUGUGUUUUCAUUUCCAUAACACUGAAGCACUUUCUGUAAACCUUUUGAUGUACUUAAAUAAGUCUAUUUGGACAUUUAAAGAAGCUACACAUACAAACAUAGCUUGGCUUUUUGCCGUCAAUCCCAGCAUUAAAAAAACAUUCAUAAUCUAACUGAGAAGCUCUUUCAUACCCAUCCUUCUUUCAAAUAAGUAAAUAAAUAAAGAAAUAGAAGUGCAAACCAAAGAAAGUUUCCAGCGUGCAUCUGUACGUCUUCGUGUGCGAGUUUAUAAACAACUUCCAGUCGGUACUUGGGUGUUACCUCCCUCCUGCCACACACCCCAAGGCAGAGGCAUCGAGGGAUCGCCCCCAGAGAGCUGUGUUUACUUAGCUUGUUUUAAAAAAAAUCUCGCCGCCAUGUAUGACAAGUGUUACUGCAAGAAAUUCAUCAGCCUUCUACAGAUACUUCCAGUUUUGCUGUAAUGAUCUGCAGAAGAGAACUGCCAUCACUUUCUCACAUCCCAAGGUGUUGCAGGAACUCAGAGAGAGGGGAGAGUGGCUGAAACGCUUAAUUACCGGAGGCGAAGGAGGGGCGCGCGGGGGACCGAAGGAGAGGGGAGUGAAGAAGGAAGGUCCUUUACCAGGCUUGUACCUGGAGAAAGCUUUGAAUCGCUUCUCUGCUAUAUUUGGAAAAGGUAUGCUUGCUUUUUAAAAAAAUGCCUUUAGGGCAAAGUGAUACCCUUGUGUAAUAAUUAACUCAGACAAUAAAAAUAAUUGGAAAAUCAGUUGGAAUUUCUGAGUUUUUAAUUACGUUUAAUUUCGUACUAAGCCGUAAAAUUACGAAUGCCCCUCAAUUAAACACUCUCCUCUUGUAAAG
rnacentral:lncRNA from 1 species